AACCUUAUGGACCUGCGGGCGUAUACCUGCGGAAGGAUCAUUACCUAGAGUUGUAGGCUUUGCCUGCUAUCUCUUACCCAUGUCUUUUGAGUACCUUACGUUUCCUCGGUGGGCUCGCCCACCGAUUGGACAAACUUAAACCCUUUGCAGUUGAAAUCAGCGUCUGAAAAAACUUAAUAGUUACAACUUUUAACAACGGAUCU
rnacentral:misc_RNA from 1 species